CCGUGGUCCGUGGCCUAGGGACCGAAGGUAAAAGCUGUACAAAAUGUAUUGAACAUUCCCUGCCCUUUCUUAUUGAAGCCUAUUACAAUUUUUAUAGCUUUUCUUUCCUCUGCGAUUACAGAUUAGCUGAGAGAUUAACUCUCAUACUGAGAGAUUAACUCUCAUACUGACACUGAACAAGCUCGGCGAAUUUACUCUCCCUCUCAGGAUUUGCCAUGAUCCUUAUUAUAGUGCUUGUCACAUGGCUAGGAUGUCUCAAUCCAAGAGGAAUGUUUCCGAUGUGUGGACAUUCUUUACUGUGCCAGAUCCUGGAGGAAGUCCAUAUUAUUAUUUGGAGUGCUUGGCUUCUAUCAGACUGGGAAAACUCAGGCCAAGCGGCCAAGGAUUUCCAGGUAAUCAUUUUAUGGGAUCAUUUGCAACAUAAGCACCCUUCUAAACACAAGGAAGCAACUGCAAUACGUGAAUCACAGAGGGUCAAGACUCAAGAGACAAAAGUCUGAUGAAGUCGAAGCUGAGCGGAGAUCGAUGUAUCAACUGACAACAUCUAAUCAGCGGGGGCAGUCUGGAGCGGCGCCACUGUUACUAGACUGAUGAACGUCAAAAAGAUCUAAAAAGUUGCUCCUGAAAUGGAUUAUUGAUCAGAUGCUCCCCUACACGACUGUUGAGAAUGAACAUUUUUAACAGUUUGUUGACGGUUUGAACAAGAAGUUUGACAUACCCUCAGAAAAGGUGGUGCGCACAAAACUGUUUUCUGAAUUAUAUAAUAGAGUUUAAACUGAAGAAAUCGAUUGAUGAUAGCCUGAAAGGAGCUGAUUACAGUCUGAGCUGUGAUGUUUGGUCGUCAAAAGCGCUGGAUUCCUAUUUGGGGGUCAUAAUACUACAAAGUUCAUCGUUGUCUGCAUCUCAACAGAUGACUCCUCACGAUUGGGAUCUUCUGACCAAGGCUAUUGCGGUACUGAAGCCAUUCUACAUCACCACAAAAGCGGCGGAGGGGGACAGGGUUUUUGUUUCGGAGGUCAUCCCAAAUAUAAAGAAACUGGAUUACGCUAUCAGGAGUCGGAACUCUUAAACCCACACUGCUUUCCGAAAUGGCCAGGAGACUGAAGAAAUCCAAAGAUAGUGCACCGAUCUAAAGAGAAUGAGUUAGAAGACCUUCGGAAUCUGAAAGUGGAGUCGCUAUACUUUGACGGGAGAAAAUAUGCAGCAUUGUGAUGAGCUUAGGAUCGACAUUCGACAACUCGCCACUAAGAUCUUGUAGCUGUUACGCCACUUACGUCAACACCGGACGUCACAAUGGGAUUAUAGCCCUCUUGGAGAAAAAUUUUUGGACGGGAAUCGCAAAGAUUUAUUUGGUGCCUUCACAGGAUAGAACUGCCAUUAAAAAUUUAAGGGGUUCUGAGUCCUGAACUUUCGAGAGAACGAAUUGGUUCUCUCAGCCACGCAAGGUGGAUUACAAUGCAGUCGAGUUAGUUAUAUCAUCAAUAUUUACUUACCGCUUGAUUUGAAUAUCAAGUAUAAAAGCUCAGUUGUUAAUGGUGUAGUUAACUUGUAUGAGGAAGUAACAUUGGUCAGGAAACACGUUAAGGGUAAAGUUGACAGGGAAAUUUGUUUAGAAGUUUAACGAAAUAAUUCUUAUUUUGAACACCCCCAUAACAUUCUAAUUGCCAUGUUAGCUGACGAUUGUUCUGUUAUUAAAAAAGAGGCUAUAGAGAAGGUUUCUGAAGUUGUAUAUCAGAUGUUUUGUCGUUAAGCUAUGUUCUGCCUAAGUUGGAUGUUAAGGCGGGUAAGGCCACCGUUAAGGCCACUAAGUAUUCCGAGUUGUGUUCUACGAGUAAGCUAGAAUAUGGUAGCAUAUUUAUAUUAAAGGGAUUAGAUUUACUUUUGUUUUGUUUUAGAACCAUCUACUUCUGAGCUGCCCUGUCAAAAUUAAAAGGGCGUACAGGUUGUCUCGGCAAAAGCCUCUUUAAAUUAUUAAUGGACGAUCCUAAAGACCGUAAUUUGGUCAUGAACACUUCAGAAGAAUUGAAUGAAAUAAAGGAUAUUGCCCGCUGUAAACAAUGUUGAAGGACAAGUUCGACAAACCCUAAGGUUCGACUCUGAGUCUGUCGAACUAAAGUGCUCUAUCUGGACUCAAGUUCGACACGUACUAAAGUUAGACAAAACAACUUUGACUGUCGGACUACAGUUUUGAAAUCUCCAAUAUCAAGCAACGAUCCUUAACGAGCUUGUCAUUUAUUCGUUUGUGUGUUUUCAACUUGUCUCAUGCUGUUCAAUUAUUUGUUUAUAUAAUUUUAUAAUCCAUAUCUAUGGAAAUUUAAUUGACCUCAUA